UACAGAGGGUGCGAGCGUUAAUCGGAAUUACUGGGCGUAAAGCGCGCGUAGGCGGCUUUGCAAGUCGGGUGUGAAAUCCCCAGGCCUAACCUGGGAACUGCACUCGAGACUGCAUGGCUAGAGUAUCGGAGAGGGAAGUGGAAUUUCAGGUGUAGCGGUGAAAUGCGUAGAUAUCUGAAGGAACACCGGUGGCGAAGGCGGCAUCCUGGACCAAUUCUGACGCUGAGUGAGCGAAAGCCAGGGGAGCAAACGGG
rnacentral:rRNA from 1 species